GGUUAAGCGACUAAGCGUACACGGUGGAUGCCCUGGCAGUCAGAGGCGAUGAAGGGCGUGCUAAUCUGCGAUAAGCGCCGGUAAGGUGAUAUGAACCGUUAUAACCGGCGAUACCCGAAUGGGGAAACCCAGUGUGAUUCGUCACACUAUCAUUAACUGAAUCCAUAGGUUAAUGAGGCGAACCGGGGGAACUGAAACAUCUAAGUACCCCGAGGAAAAGAAAUCAACCGAGAUUCCCCCAGUAGCGGCGAGCGAACGGGGAGGAGCCCAGAGCCUGAAUCAGCAUGUGUGUUAGUGGAAGCGUCUGGAAAGGCGCGCGAUACAGGGUGACAGCCCCGUACACAA
rnacentral:rRNA from 1 species